rnacentral:lncRNA from 1 species
UGUAAAUAAUGACAACUUAGAAAAUUUCAUGGAAAAAGUGAUCCUAAUCCUAAUAGCAAUAAAUAUUUUGUCUGUAUCUGAUUAUCCUUUGUAUUUCAGAUAAUGGAAAAGUUCCUCUGAACUCCUUGAUAAACAUAGCAAGUUUAUUUUCUGGUAAUAAGAUUAAUGCCAAGGAUACACAACUUUAUCUGGAAAAUAUAGGUAUUGAAUUAACAAAGAGCGAAAGUCAGGAGCUAUUGGACACACUGCCAUUGGAUGAAAAUCAAAUGGUGUAUAAAAACAGGUUGAUGGACGGAGUAAAGAAAUACAGAGGAGGAAAGGUUAAUAUCAAUAAAAUAGAUGAUGCUCUUAAGAACAUGGGAUUCCUACUUGAUGAGGAAGACAUUGAGGAACUAUGCAGUCACCUGCCAAUUGAUGGUAAGCACUUCAAGUACCCAGUGCCCUGUAAAAAAAUUUUUUUAUUUAUCUGUAGAAAUAUCUGAAGUAUACUUGUUAAUUU